rnacentral:rRNA from 1 species
CGCUGGCGGCGUGCUUAACACAUGCAAGUCGAACGGAGUGGUCCUCCCGAAGACCUGAUUGAGCUUGCUCUUGAUGGAAUUCAUUUGGAUCACUUAGUGGCGGACGGGUGAGUAACGCGUGGGUAACCUGCCCUAUACUGGGGGAUAGCAGUUGGAAACGACUGAUAAUACCGCAUAAGCGCACAGCAUCGCAUGGUGCAGUGUGAAAAAACUCCGGUGGUAUAGGAUGGACCCGCGUCUGAUUAGCUAGUUGGUGAGGUAACGGCCCACCAAGGCGACGAUCAGUAGCCGGCCUGAGAGGGUGUACGGCCACAUUGGGACUGAGACACGGCCCAAACUCCUACGGGAGGCAGCAGUGGGGAAUAUUGGACAAUGGGGGAAACCCUGAUCCAGCGAACCGCCGCGUGAGUGAAGAAGUAUCUCGGUAUGUAAAGCUCUAUCAGCAGGGAAGAUAAUGACGGUACCUGACUAAGAAGCACCGGCUAAAUACGUGCCAGCAGCCGC